GUGGGGAAUUUUGGACAAUGGGCGCAAGCCUGAUCCAGCAAUGCCGCGUGUGUGAAGAAGGCCUUCGGGUUGUAAAGCACUUUUGGCAGGAAAGAAAUAGUGCGUGCUAAUACCAUGCGCGAAUGACGGUACCUGCAGAAUAAGCACCGGCUAACUACGUGCCAGCAGCCGCGGUAAGACGUAGGGUGCAAGCGUUAAUCGGAAUUACUGGGCGUAAAGCGUGCGCAGGCGGUUUUGUAAGACAGGUGUGAAAUCCCCGGGCUCAACCUGGGAACUGCACUUGUGACUGCAAGGCUAGAGUGUGUCAGAGGGAGGUGGAAUUCCGCGUGUAGCAGUGAAAUGCGUAGAGAUGCGGAGGAACACCGAUGGCGAAGGCAGCCUCCUGGGAUAACACUGACGCUCAGGCACGAAAGCGUGGGGAGCAAACAGGAUUAGAAACCCGGGUAGUCC
rnacentral:rRNA from 1 species